rnacentral:rRNA from 1 species
UACGUAGGGGGCAAGCGUUGUCCGGAUUUAUUGGGCGUAAAGAGCGUGUAGGCGGCCAGUUAGGUCCGUUGUGAAAACUCGAGGCUCAACCUCGAGACGCCGAUGGAAACCAACUGGCUAGAGUCCGGAAGAGGCGAGUGGAAUUCCCGGUGUAGCGGUGAAAUGCGCAGAUAUCGGGAGGAACACCUAUGGCGAAGGCAGCUCGCUGGGACGUUACUGACGCUGAGACGCGAAAGCGUGGGGAGCAAACAGG